GCCCUGAUGGUCUAGUGGUUAAGAUUCAGCACUCUCACUGCUAUGGCCCAGGUUCAUUUCCCGGUCAGGGAA
rnacentral:tRNA from 1 species